UGGCGAACGGGUGAGUAAUAUAUCGGAACGUGCCCAGUCGUGGGGGAUAACGUAGAGAAAUUUACGCUAAUACCGCAUACGAUCUAAGGAUGAAAGCGGGGGACCGUAAGGCCUCGCGCGAUUGGAGCGGCUGAUAUCAGAUUAGGUUGUUGGUGAGGUAAAAGCUCACCAAGCCGACGAUCUGUAGCUGGUUUGAGAGAACGACCAGCCACACUGGGACUGAGACACGGCCCAGACUCCUACGGGAGGCAGCAGUGGGGAAUUUUGGACAAUGGGCGAAAGCCUGAUCCAGCAAUGCCGCGUGCAGGAAGAAGGCCUUCGGGUUGUAAACUGCUUUUGUACGGAACGAAAAGGUUUGCCCUAAUACGGCGGGCCCAUGACGGUACCGUAAGAAUAAGCACCGGCUAACUACGUGCCAGCAGCCGCGGUAAUACGUAGGGUGCAAGCGUUGUCCGGAAUUAUUGGGCGUAAAGAGCUCGUAGGCGGUUUGUUGCGUCUGCUGUGAAAACCCGAGGCUCAACCUCGGGCCUGCAGUGGGUAC
rnacentral:rRNA from 1 species